UCCCUGGUAGUAUAUCGGUUAGUACACGCGCCUGUCAUUAAGCAAGAACGUGUACUGACGCGCGAAAGCUGGGUUCGACUCCCAGCCAGGGAG